GUGACCGGCUGCGUCGCGCUAGCAGUUCGCGCUAACCGGACCGGGACCGGCGGAACCGACAGCAGACCGGAGACAGCAGGACUCCACCGGACGAGCGGGCAGACCGCGCGCUUUCUCCGAAUCUGCAGCUUGUACGCGGAUUGUCGCUGUGAGGACCCGGAAGAGCAGCGCGACUGGACGGCGUGACGUGUGCUCGAGGAGCUUUUGUUUAUGGGCGUGGCCUGUAGGCGUCUUCCAACUCGCGAUUGGUGAACAGGACUCUAGCCAUCCUGCUGUGGCGCUGUGGUCACCAAGUGGGCGGAGUCAGGCUCAGACUCGGGCUGUGAUUGGCUGAGAGUGAUGAGUGGGCUGGCAGGGGCUCACGG